rnacentral:rRNA from 1 species
AGAGAUGUGUGAUGACGCAUAUCAAUAAGCGGAGGAAAAGAAACUGACAAGGAUUCCCUAGUAACGGCGAGUGAAGCGGGAAGAGCUCAAAUUUGAAAUCUUAAAGGGUUCUACCUUGACGAAUUGUAGUUUAUAGAAGUGUUUUCUGUUAGUAGAGUUCGGUAAAAGUUCUUUGGAAUAGGACAUCAUAGAGGGUGAGAAUCCCGUAUUUGACCGUUACUUUCCAGCUGUGUGAUACACUUUCAAAGAGUCGGAUUGUUUGGGAAUGCAGUCCAAGAUGGGUGGUAAAUUUCAUCUAAAGCUAAAUAUUGGCGAGAGACCGAUAGCGAACAAGUACCGUGAGGGAAAGAUGAAAAGAACUUUGAAAAGAGAGUUAAACAGUACGUGAAAUUGUCAAAAGGGAAGCGUUUUGACACCAGUGUUGUUUAGUUGAAAAUCAACUCAAUAGUUUUUGAUUCUAAGUAGUAUUGACUUCAUCAGCUUGCUGCUUUCUUCUCAGAAAUUAUUGAAUGCACUUUUCAGUUAACAAGUCAACAUCAAUUUCUUUUGUUGUAAAAGGGUAAGAGGAAGGUGGCUUGCGCUUCGGCUCAAGUGUUUAUAGCCUUUUAUCUCUGCAAUCGGAGAGAUUGAGGUCUGCAGCGUAGAUCCUUCGGGGUUAGAUACAUUGGUGCUAAGCUAUAGCCUUGUAUAGACAACUUGUUGACUAUGCUCAGUCAUGUAGCUUACUCGCUGAUGCUAUUUUACCUACGCUUAGGAUGUUGAGAGCAGUAUAGACUGU